UGGGCCCGUAGCAUAGCCGGUGGUGCACCCGGCUGAUAACCGGGAGGUCAUGCGUUCGAAUCGCAUCGGGCCCAUC
rnacentral:tRNA from 1 species